UGGCAUACAUUGGUGAAUGUCAUUUUUCAUCUUGGUUACUUAUUGCUCUCAUCAGUUUUGACAUGGAGAUGUUGAGAACAUACUGUACAUGAGGUGCAAAUGGCAAAGUCCAGCAGCAGAAACACAAUGUUAUCACCUGUGGAACAAGCUGCUGCAUUUGCCAGUGAUGUUUGGAUGCAGAGCCUUAGGAAGCGGAUGAACCUUUGCAUCAGGUGAUCAAAGGAUGCAGAUCAAGUACAGCACCUCCGAAAAGCUCUGAUUGGUGGGGUCAUGAACUGUGUGCCUCGAGGAGAUCCCCUUAAAGGCUACCUCGCUUCUGGCGGGGGUUACAGUCGGGACAAAGGAAGCCUUUGAGAGACAGAACUGGGUUUUAUUAAAAUGUUAACUGGGUGUGCUUUCUCGUUCACAGUACCCAUUGUACGGCGCUGUUCACGGCGUGUCUUGUUACAGACUGUUCAAUCAGCUCUGACAUGACCAAUUUGAGUUUUUCCCUUGCCGCCAACACUUUGACACAUUGUUCUUGUUCCUGUACCCAUGGUGUGUCUUAUUUGCUGCUUAUACAGUAGGUAUCAGCUAGGCUUGAAGUGCUGUGAGUGGAAGGAACCCGUCUGCAGAUUGUCUGUUCCAUGUCAGCCGCAUGAAGCAGCCUUCUGUCCCAGUCAGUGCAGGAACUGUGGCCAAGCAGUAUGUGUGCUGUUUCCCCUGGGGAUCUAACAUAUUAGGUCUUUCUCAUGUGCAUCAAACGAAGACAGCGCAGGCACAUUCAGGACCCUGCAAGCCAGAGGUUAACAUGGAACAAACCCCCUAAAAGUGUCCUUGUCAUAAAGAAGAUCAGAGAUGCUGGUUUACUGAGACCCUUCAAAGAGCUCUGUAUCUUUUUGACCGAGGUCAAAGGCAUGAUUGUGUAUGUGGAAAAGAAAGUUCUGGAAGACCCGGCCAUUGCAGCUGAUGAGAGCUUUGUGGCUGUGAAAAAGAAGUUCUGCACCUUCCAAGACGAUCUGGAUGACAUUUCUGACUCUGUGGACUUCAUCAUCUGCCUUGGGGGAGAUGGGACCUUACUAUAUGCCUCUUCUCUCUUCCAGGAAAGCGUCCCACCUGUCAUGGCCUUCCACCUGGGCUCCUUGGGCUUCUUGACACCCUUCAGCUUUGACACUUACCAGUCUCAGGUGACGCAGGUUAUUGAAGGUAAUGCAGCCAUCGUACUCAGAAGCAGGCUGCUGGUGAGGGUUUCACGGGAAAGCACGGAGAAGAAGGUUCAGGGCCCAGUGGAUGAGACAGGCCUGAUCAUCACCAAUGGCGAGAACAAUGCUAGUCACAGGACCAUGCAGUAUCAGGUGCUCAACGAGGUAGUAGUGGACAGGGGUCCCUCCUCCUACCUCUCCAAUGUUGACCUGUUCCUCGAUGGUCACCAGAUCACCACAGUGCAGGGAGAUGGUGUCAUUGUGUCCACACCCACGGGGAGCACAGCCUACGCAGUGGCAGCAGGAGCCUCCAUGAUCCACCCCAAUGUCCCUGCCAUCUUGAUCACCCCUAUUUGCCCACAUUCUUUAUCCUUCCGCCCCAUCGUAGUGCCUGCAGGGGUGGAACUCACGAUCAAGCUCUCCCCUGACGCUCGCAACACAGCCUGGGUUUCCUUCGAUGGAAGAAAACGACAGGAAAUCAGUCAUGGAGACAGCAUUACCAUCACUACCUCCUGCUUCCCCGUUCCCUCGAUCUGCUUCCGGGAUCCUGUCAACGACUGGUUCGAGAGCCUCGCUCAAUGUUUACACUGGAACGUCAGGAAAAAGCAAAACCACCUGAGCUCCGAGGAGGAAGAGGAGUUCUGAGGAAGGUGGCGGCGGACUUCUUUUGCACUUUGUAUGACUCUCAGCAGAUUCAGCUGGAGUUCUGGAUGAACCAUUUAGGACUUAGCCCAGUGAUGGUGUGGAAGCACAAAGCUAUUGUGCAGACAGUUUCCUGUUGCAGUGGUGCUGGUUUGGGGAUAGUUCAGAAAGCAGGGCUCCCUUUGGCAAUAAAAAGAAAAAAUAGGUAGUGCCUUAAAAUAGUGUUAACACAUGUAAAUGACCCGUUUUAUAGUUGUACCACUUUGAAAUGUUAAAAUAGGUCAGCCUAGCAAAGCUAAAUCUGUCUAGAGCAGCUUUUUUAGAGGUUAUGGAGAAGUAUUUUAAGAAGCAUGGGAAUAUUUUUCAUUUGAACGGAUGAUCUGGCAAACCUUUCUGACCAACCAGCAUUCUUCGGUACGAGCAAAAAUUCCAUCGUCUGUCUGCAUCUUUAACUGAAACUGUUAAUUUCACUGAUUAGUUCCAUGAACCAACAUAUCUUAAUUUGUACGUUGUGCAAUUUGUUGCGACCAUCGCUGUUUUGAGUAGCAUUUUGCGGUAGCCAUGACCAGAGCACCAGUUCUCGACUUGCUCCUAUGUGCAACUAACGUGUGCCAUUUUGUGUUGGAAUGUUAUUUAAUCUUGUUUCCUCCCAUCGCAUUGUGGCAGCGUUUGGAAAAAUUAACAUACGAAAGCUUGUCCUGUCCUGCAUCUGAUGCUCCCAGUGGUCCAUACUUCUCUCCAAGUGUCCUUCCUUGCUGGUGGCAGGAGUGCAGGCUUCUCUCCACGUGUGUAGCACCUCGAGGCUGGUCACUUACUGGGGACAGGCUGCCGGACUGUCUUACAGAAGAACUUAACAGAACCGCUCUUAACUGGGCGUAACCCUUUUUUCAGGUUUUGUAAUAUGUUCAUCUGCUUCAUUGUCAUCGUUUUGUAUAUCACAGCUGUGGAUAAAUGAUCAAACACAUUGACUUGAUUGUUCCAAUGGGAAAAUCUAUGGUAUAAGCCAUUUAACUGUAAAUCCAAGGGAGGGGAGGUAUUCCUAUCGCCUGCCUCAAGCCAGAAAACUGGGUCCAAACCCAACAAACAGCAGUGACGCAGAGCCUGCAAGAAUGGGCUUAAUAGAAACACCUAUAAGCUUGUGUGAAUGCAGGUUUUUUUUUUUUUUCCCUCCUUCAAUACCUGAAUUUCCUUUUUGGUGGGGCUUUCUUUGGGGGAUUUUUAGGCACUUUUUGGUUGACUAUGUUUUGGUCAAUGUUUGUUGUGCUGCUCUUGAAGGCAGCACCUGUGGCCACGGGUGCAAAUACAAGGCUGUCACUUUCAAUGGGCCUGUGUGUGUGUGUGUGUGUGUGUGUGUGUGUGUGUGUGUGUGUGUGUGUGUGUGUGUGUGUAAUAUGUGAUUUUUUAAAUUAAAUCAAGCUCAUGUAUUUAUGCAUGUUAAUGAAGCAGGACAGGUUUAAAACAGGACUAAAUAAAGGACCUAGUAGAAAGCUAUCAGUUACAACCACCGGUUAAGAAGCAUCCCCCACAUUCCAGCUUAAUGUGUGAUCCUCACACUGUUAAGAUUACUGUAUCUGUACAUGGAACAUGUGAUCACACAACUUAUUUUUUUAACCACUUGUGUCCUGUCACAGUAUUUACUGUACAUUAGAUGAUCACGCCUCCAAAUCUGUGGAUAGAGAUUUUCCUGUAUACAAUAUGUAGCGUAUGUAUGUAUGGAUGUAAGGUAUGCAUACAUGUGGUAAUAUGUCGGUGGUGGCAGUGUAUGCAAGUAUGGUUUCUGCCACCUUUGCAAGUGUGUGUACGUGUGUGUUUAAAAAAAAAUGUGUAAAUAACAUUUCCAACUUCCUUCUUCCAAUACUACACUUUUAUUCUCCCGGUGAGCUGCUAAUCACUAGCCGCUUGCUCCCUUUGACCGCCAGCAGAGCGGUGCACCUCAAGAUGUGGUAACCAUGGCAAUGAGCCAUGGCAUACUUUCGGCACACGUACAUGCAGAUGCACACACACGUAUAUUCUGCACGCGUAUGCCUUUUUGGAGAACGUGGGUCGACACAGCGAGGGUGAUGGCGUGUAAGAGCGGGGGCUACAGGAAUAAGAGGACCGCAGGUGGUUUUCCUCAUUCGACUCGCACGUUCAUCACUGUAGGCGGGUCGCCUCUUUUUCCACAAGUUGUGGUUUUUCCCUCACUGUGGUGUUAAACUGACGAUCGAGAGGCACGUGGACCGUCUGAAGAGGGAGCAGGACCUCCUGAAGGUGACCCCAACGUGGACUGCAUGUAAACCUGAGCAGCAUACCAGCCUUGAGCACAUAAUGCUGAUCAGGUGUGUGUGUAUGUUUGUGGAUACUGUAACCACUAUCUUCCAGCACACAGCACUGGCCUCUGAAAUCCCCGUGUUUUUCCAGCACAAACUUUGCGAGACUGCUGUAGAUAUUUAUUCCGCGUGGAGGAGGACCUCUAGAUGUGAACUGUGCAACAUCAUAAUGACAAGUGUGUUUGGUUCUUACCUCAGCGUGAACUCAUACGAAGCCUUAGGCUAAGACCACUGAACUUUACCCUAAACCUGAGGAUGGAGUCGUGGUUAUUGCGGGCACAUUCCGAAAACACGAGUGCAUUUUGUGUUUACCAUGUUUUAUUGACAGUUUUAACACUGUGAGAAUUUUUAU